rnacentral:tRNA from 1 species
AGCUUUAUAUUCAAUAAUGAUAUUAGACUGCAAUUCUAAAGGAGUAAAUAAUUUACUAAGGCUU